UGCAGUCGAGCGGACAGAUGGGAGCUUGCUCCCUGAUGUUAGCGGCGGACGGGUGAGUAACACGUGGGUAACCUGCCUGUAAGACUGGGAUAACUCCGGGAAACCGGGGCUAAUACCGGAUGGUUGUUUGAACCGCAUGGUUCAAACAUAAAAGGUGGCUUCGGCUACCACUUACAGAUGGACCCGCGGCGCAUUAGCUAGUUGGUGAGGUAACGGCUCACCAAGGCAACGAUGCGUAGCCGACCUGAGAGGGUGAUCGGCCACACUGGGACUGAGACACGGCCCAGACUCCUACGGGAGGCAGCAGUAGGGAAUCUUCCGCAAUGGACGAAAGUCUGACGGAGCAACGCCGCGUGAGUGAUGAAGGUUUUCGGAUCGUAAAGCUCUGUUGUUAGGGAAGAACAAGUACCGUUCGAAUAGGGCGGUACCUUGACGGUACCUAACCAGAAAGCCACGGCUAACUACGUGCCAGCAGCCGCGGUAAUACGUAGGUGGCAAGCGUUGUCCGGAAUUAUUGGGCGUAAAGGGCUCGCAGGCGGUUUCUUAAGUCUGAUGUGAAAGCCCCCGGCUCAACCGGGGAGGGUCAUUGGAAACUGGGGAACUUGAGUGCAGAAGAGGAGAGUGGAAUUCCACGUGUAGCGGUGAAAUGCGUAGAGAUGUGGAGGAACACCAGUGGCGAAGGCGACUCUCUGGUCUGUAACUGACGCUGAGGAGCGAAAGCGUGGGGAGCGAACAGGAUUAGAUACCCUGGUAGUCCACGCCGUAAACGAUGAGUGCUAAGUGUUAGGGGGUUUCCGCCCCUUAGUGCUGCAGCUAACGCAUUAAGCACUCCGCCUGGGGAGUACGGUCGCAAGACUGAAACUCAAAGGAAUUGACGGGGGCCCGCACAAGCGGUGGAGCAUGUGGUUUAAUUCGAAGCAACGCGAAGAACCUUACCAGGUCUUGACAUCCUCUGACAAUCCUAGAGAUAGGACGUCCCCUUCGGGGGCAGAGUGACAGGUGGUGCAUGGUUGUCGUCAGCUCGUGUCGUGAGAUGUUGGGUUAAGUCCCGCAACGAGCGCAACCCUUGAUCUUAGUUGCCAGCAUUCAGUUGGGCACUCUAAGGUGACUGCCGGUGACAAACCGGAGGAAGGUGGGGAUGACGUCAAAUCAUCAUGCCCCUUAUGACCUGGGCUACACACGUGCUACAAUGGACAGAACAAAGGGCAGCGAAACCGCGAGGUUAAGCCAAUCCCACAAAUCUGUUCUCAGUUCGGAUCGCAGUCUGCAACUCGACUGCGUGAAGCUGGAAUCGCUAGUAAUCGC
rnacentral:rRNA from 1 species